GUAGGGAAUCUUCCACAAUGGACGAAAGUCUGAUGGAGCAACGCCGCGUGAGUGAAGAAGGUCUUCGGAUCGUAAAACUCUGUUGUUAGAGAAGAACGUGCAUGAUAGUAACUGAUCAUGUAAUGACGGUAUCUAACCAGAAAGCCACGGCUAACUACGUGCCAGCAGCCGCGGUAAUACGUAGGUGGCAAGCGUUGUCCGGAUUUAUUGGGCGUAAAGGGAACGCAGGCGGUUUUUUAAGUCUGAUGUGAAAGCCUUCGGCUUAACCGAAGAAUAGCAUUGGAAACUGAAAGACUUGAGUGCAGAAGAGGAGAGUGGAAUUCCAUGUGUAGCGGUGAAAUGCGUAGAUAUAUGGAGGAACACCAGUGGCGAAAGCGGCUCUCUGGUCUGUAACUGACGCUGAGGUUCGAAAGCGUGGGUAGCAAACAGGAUUAGAAACCCUUGUAGUCC
rnacentral:rRNA from 1 species